AUGAAACACUGGCUGAGAAACAUCCUGAUACUGACUCUCUGGCUAGAGUGUAAAGGACAAGACAAAGUGAACCAGCCACCAGGAGAUGUCAUUGCUACUGAAGGACAGACAGUUACACUUAAUUGUACAUUUAAGACCAGUGGUACAACUCCAUAUUUGUUCUGGUACAAACAAGAAGUGAAUGAUUUUCCAAAGUAUGUUUUGCGACGUUACUCUGGAAUAGAAAAUAAUGCUGCAGAGUUCCCCGAAGACAGAUUUAAUGCUACAGUCAACGGGACGUCAGUUCCUCUGAAGAUCCAGAAGCUGCAGCUGUCUGACUCUGCUGUGUACUACUGUGCUCUGCGGCCCACAGUG